AAGAGUUAUUAUAAACUCCCAAACCCAUGUGAACAUACCUAUCGUUGCUUCGGCAGGUCGCGUCUACCGGGUAAGCCUGCCGGUGGCCCACGAAACUCUGUUUAAUAUUGAAACUCUGAAUCUAUAACUAAAUAAGUUA
rnacentral:misc_RNA from 1 species